rnacentral:rRNA from 1 species
UACGUAGGGGGCUAGCGUUGUCCGGAAUCAUUGGGCGUAACGCGCGUGUAGGCGGUCCGGUAAGUCCGCUGUGAAAGUCGGGGGCUCAACCCUCGAAUGCCGGUGGAUACUGUCGGGCUAGAGUGCGGAAGAGGCGAGUGGAAUUCCUGGUGUAGCGGUGAAAUGCGCAGAUAUCAGGAGGAACACCAAUUGCGAAGGCAGCUCGCUGGGACGUUACUGACGCUGAGACGCGAAAGCGUGGGGAGCAAACAGG